UUUACUAUCACUAUACAAGGUGAUAAUAUGUUGAAAAGGAGCCUGAAGGGAUAUAAUAGUGCAGAAUGUUGUGAAAAGCCUACAUACUCGGGGUGUGAUGCAGAGGCAACUGAUGACACAGAGGCAGAAGAAUGAGAAGGAAUGAGAGUGAGGAUACCCAAUGACAGCCUGACAACGGCAGGAUGAUGUAGCAUGUCAUCCAUGACUCACCCUUGCACAUAUUCACACAAAUAUAUUCCACUCUACCAGUAUAUUUCCUCUCUACCAAUGCCAGUUCAGCAUAUUCCUCCUGGUGAACUGUACAUGACUGCGUUGGACUUUUAAGUUUCUCAAAGCCGCCAGCCAUAUACAGCGAGGCUCAGGGUCACAGCAGUCCACCCCCACUGGGAACUCAAAGCACCAUUCCUUACCAGCUGGAGCUGGAACCCCCGACACUGAGCGCCUCAUAGCCCACAUCCCCGCCUAAUGUCACAACCACCACUUGACAAGACAGAGAAGGGUUAAUGCUCCACUAGGGUCAUGCCUAGA